rnacentral:rRNA from 1 species
CAGUAGCCGCGGUAAUACGGAGGGUGCGAGCGUUAAUCGGAAUUACUGGGCGUAAAGGGAGCGUAGGCGGCGUGGUAAGUCAGAUGUGAAAUCCCGGGGCUCAACCCCGGAACUGCAUCCGAUACUGCCAUGCUAGAGGAUUGGAGAGGUAGCUGGAAUUCUUGGUGUAGCAGUGAAAUGCGUGGAGAUCAAGAGGAACACUCGUGGCGAAAGCGAGCUACUGGACAAUAACUGACGCUGAGGCUCGAAGGCCAGGGUAGCGAAAGGGAUUAGAGACCCCUGUAGUCCCUGUCUCUUAUAA